AGAGAGGCAGUCAGUAGCAAGGCCAAGUGAAUGGUGGCAACUAGCAACUGAAGCGAGUGUCUGGGGGAGGGACCGCUACAUCGUUGGAGAACACAUCACUUCAGUUUGCCGCUGUUACCCGAUGAAGGAAUACGUGCAGCAUUUCUCUCUCCCUGGCAUGAUGGAUAACCACACUGAGGAGGAUUUCGCCACAAACAAUACGGCAAUGAACAACAUUUACUUCCCUCCAGACGUCAACCCAGAAGAUGAUAUUGUUACUAUAUAUGGAAACAGCAACACUCAGAUGUUCCGCAGAGAUCAACAUUCCCUGGAAGGCUACCCGGCGUCCUUCACCAUGCCGGAGCCGCAGUAUGGAGGCAGUAGUGGUGAAGGUGCUGGUGGUGGUGGAGCAAGAAGACGGAGAGCAAGAGGUGUCGCUUCCCCGUAUGAUCUUGAACACCCAAGCUUAGUGCAACAGCAGCAGCAGCAGCAGCAACAACAACAACAACAACAACAACAACAACAGCAACAACAACAACAACAACAACAACAACAACAGUACGGGCAAGAGGAAGAAAACUUAAGAUUAAGCUCCCACUUAUUCCCUCCCAGAGACGAAUUUUUCCCCACUCCCCUUUCUCCCCACGCCCACGAGGCCCCCAGACACCCACACCCGCUCCACGCCCCCGCCCAGAGACAGCAGAGGCGCGGGCGUGAGAGGGACCCCUUCCACUCACCCUUUCCUCGAGAUAGUGACUUCACUUCCGAAAUUUGUUUCCUCGAUUUUCAAAAGUGAUUCUCCUCUCUCUCUCUCUCUCUCUCUCUCUCUCUCUCUCUCUCUCUCUCUCUCUCUCUCUCUCUCUCUCUCUCUCACGGUGAUGGGAUGGUGACUUUUCUUUACCAUAGUGAGGCCUGAGCAACCUCUACCUCCCUAGCUCUCUCUCUCUCUCUCUCUCUCUCUCUCUCUCUCUCUCAAAAAAUAUAUAUAAAAAUUAAGAAAAAACAAUAUACCUUAUUCUAAGUACUAAAUCUCUAUUAGGAAUUAACUUAAGGAAAGAAUUAAGACAAUCACACAUUUUCUUGACAAAUGAAGUGAUUCCAAUAGAGUAAAAAUAUAUAUCUGAACUCCCCCUCACCUGAACAGAAAACGGGAGCGAUAGAUAAAUAGUUCUGUUAUUUUUUUCGGUGCACAGGUAAAGGUGUGUGUGUGUGUGUGUGUGUGUGUAUGUGUGUGUGUGUUUCCCGUUGUUUUGUUUCUGUUUGUUCCUCCUCCUCUUUCUCUUUUUCGCUAUUUUUCUUCAAGUUCUCUUUCUCUCUCUUCCUAUGUCUAUCCUUCUUUUUUUAUUUUUAUAUUCUGUCUUCACUCUCAUAUUCCUCCUUUUUCUUCCCAUUUCUUGCACCUCUUAAUCUUUUUCGCUGUUCUUUCAAGUCAUCUCUCACUGUCUUUCUCUUUCUCUACCUUGUCUUCACUCUCAUAUCCCUUCGGUACACAGACACACACACACACACACGCAUCUUUAUCUCUCACCUACAAGACCACCAGCCAACAAACUCCACAGAUAAGCUUAGGAAUUGCAACACACCGUCCCACCUUCAUGCUCACUUGCCAAUGACUUCAACUUUUCAAGGAAGGAAAAGAAAUGACUUCAGAAUGCGAGGUAUGUUGGGCUGUGCAUAAGUGAUGUAUUUAUGGAAGGAAGGCAAGGGAGGCGGUUUCAGUGAGACCAUAUUUUUUAAGUAUUCAAGUGCCUUAUGUGAUAGUGUAAGUUACUAGACUUUUUAAUGAAUGUUGUUAAGAUCCCAGUGAGUUAAAUCAUAAGAAAACGAGUAUGAGAGUGAACGUUUUCAAAAUACGAGUCUUUCUUCGUAUUUGACGUGGAAGUAGUGAUGCUGGGCUGGGUUAGGAUGUGCUUGUUACUUAAGUGCUGCUACUGUGGCUGUGACUGCUGUGAAUGCCGUUACUGUGGCUGUGAGUUGUCUUUUUGCGUGCUAAAUAUCGUAAAGGUGCAUUAGGUAAGUGAGGAUCCAAUUAACUCUUACCUUAAUUGGCUCCUUAAUUACCUGUGAUACGGUUUCGGUUUGGUUACUGUGAGAUUUCUCUUAUGCAUUUUUUUUUAAGUUGUUAUUAAAUCGAACAUUGGUGUUUACUUUUGCAGUGUAACAGGUUGUAUCAUUUUUUUUUUCUUUUUUUUUUUUCAUUAAAGUGAAUACUGUCUUUUGUAUGACGGAGUGUGGUACGUUUUUUUUUUCUUUUUUUUUUUUAGUGUCAUUAAAUUAACUUGAUCUUUUCCGCAUUCUUUUUUGGCAUAACAGGUAACAAUAUAUGGGACUUAAAAAAAAAAUACAAAAUUUCAUCAUAUAGAGUACAGUAGCUAUUUUUUUCUUCAUUGACCUUUUUUUUUUUAUUUCUUCCGUGCAGUGAAUAUUUACUAAGUAUGUUACAUUUUCCAAGACAUUUCCAACAGUAUUAUACAGAAUUUUUGCUCAUAUUCUUUGCUCACAAACUAAAACGUCAAUUUUGGCUUACUUAAGUGAUCACUGGAAUAUUGUUUUUCUCUUUCUCUGGACUUCCACUGAAUUGAUUAAAUGUUCUGAGGCAAUUGAAGUAACCUAAAUAUUGUGGUACAGAAAGGAUUGCAAAGAGUAUCAAUUUUUUUCGAACCAUUUCUUAAGAUGUAUAAUUCAGUGAUAUAUACUUGCAAAUUACACGUUAAAUGUAUUUCCUAAAUUAUCUCAGAAAUGAAAACCCGUAUUGUAAAUAUUUUCUUACAGUGAGAACCAAAAAUAAUAAUAGGAAGUAUUUUUUAUUUUAUUUUUUUUUAUGGUAUUUUAAAGUGUUCUAAAUCUUUCAAUACUGUAAGAACCGAAAAUUGUAAGAUAUUUUUGUGGUAUAUCAAACUGUUCUAGAUCUUUCAAUACAGCGACGACCAAAAAUUAUAGUAUGUUUUUUUACGGCUUAUUGAAGUAUUCUAAAUCUCUCAAUACAGUGAAGUAGUGAGGAUAAAGAGUUCCUACAGGUUUCUUACGGUAUUUUCAAAGUAUUCUAAAUCUUUCAGUACAACGUAGUAGUGAGGAUAAAUAGACUGUUAUAAGUUUUUUACCAAAUAUUUUUUUUAAGUAUUCUCAAAUAUUUCAUUACCCAUUACGCAGCAAAGAAAAAAAAAAUAAAAUAAAAUAAAAAAUAAAUAAAUAAAUAAAAUACUGCUUUUUAUUUAUUUAUUUAUUUAUUAUUACUUUUUUAUCAUUUAGAAAUAAGAGAGAUUAUAAUAUAGAGUAAUAAUGAGUAGUAGAAUGAUUCACUUAAGACAUCUACACAUUAGGCAGGAUAUAUUUUCUAAUGAACUGCAGUAACAUACUAUCUAGUCUUGUAUACCAACAGCUAUCAUAAGAAAAUGAGAAUUAACGUAGUUCUGUACAAAACCAAUAUUCUGACAUGUAUAAUUAAAUUUGUGAACAUUUUUUUAAUUUAUUUUUUAUUUAUUUAUUUAUUUUUUUCGAGCAUAUUGUGUUCCUAAUUAAAUGUGCUCUGUUUUCAUCUACAACAAGGAGUCUAUGAGUGUUUGUUUUUCUGUACAAUUGGCGUCAAAACUUCUCAUCAUUGCUUUGUUUGGAUGUUUGCCUGUUGAACUAAUCCGCUUGUGUAUUAACUUUAGACCAAUAAAAUCCAAAAUUAUCA